UGGGGAAUAUUGCACAAUGGGCGCAAGCCUGAUGCAGCCAUGCCGCGUGUAUGAAGAAGGCCUUCGGGUUGUAAAGUACUUUCAGCGGGGAGGAAGGGAGUAAAGUUAAUACCUUUGCUCAUUGACGUUACCCGCAGAAGAAGCACCGGCUAACUCCGUGCCAGCAGCCGCGGUAAUACGGAGGGUGCAAGCGUUAAUCGGAAUUACUGGGCGUAAAGCGCACGCAGGCGGUCUGUCAAGUCGGAUGUGAAAUCCCCGGGCUCAACCUGGGAACUGCAUUCGAAACUGGCAGGCUAGAGUCUUGUAGAGGGGGGUAGAAUUACAGGUGUAGCGGUGAAAUGCGUAGAGAUCUGGAGGAAUACCGGUGGCGAAGGCGGCCACCUGGACAAAGACUGACGCUCAGGUGCGAAAGCGUGGGGAGCAAACAGG
rnacentral:rRNA from 1 species